AUUUUUUUAUUACAAUGUGUAUAUAUAUUUAACUCCAAAAAUGAUUAAUGCAUUAAUUAAUGCUUUUAUUGGUAUGAAAUUUAGAUAAUUUAUAUGAUCUUUUGAAUAUAUAAAAUAAAUAUUAACUAGAAUGAUUUGAUUUGUUAUAUUUUAAAUAUUUUAAAAAUAAAAGUUUUUUGUGCUUUAUAAAAUAUUAAAUGUUUUUUUAUUUAAAACGUUAAUAUUUUGAUUAUAAAAAAAUA
rnacentral:tRNA from 1 species